CCAGUGCACUGAGCGUGUGUGUGAUUCAUUUUGUGUGAGUAAAACACGUUUUGUGUGCGUGUGAAUCGUUAUGCGUGAGCAAAACACGUUUUGCGUGUGUGCGGGGUUUUGGCAUGAAUCUAACUCCAUACUAUGCGACUUUCCUUGAUAGGCGCCAUGCCUAUAGAUCAGGUUGAAUCUGGAAUAAUGUUCUCGUUCUUUUACUAGUUUGCGCGCGAGAGGCUGUUUUGCGCGCGCAGAGGUAAUUUGCGCGCGCGCAGAGAUCAUUUGCGCGCUCGCAGUUAAUAUCUACGCGUAUGGAAUAAUAUAAUACGCCCGAAUGCAUCUGUUAUCACAUUAGUGAAUUAUGACACUAAUGUGUCGCCAUACAAAACCCCCUGAAACAACUUCAGUCUCACAUUCUUAUGCCACCAUACAACAGUGCAAGCAGGCCAAUGGCAACCAAGCGCGCGGUCCUUCCUCCCUCACUGCAAAAACGACCAGCCUCAACUGGUAUAGCCUACACGUGUGUGUGUGCGUGUGUGUGUGUGUGUGUGUGUGUGUGUGUGUGUGUGUGUCCUCGUAUUCAUCACUGUGUGGGGACAUCGUUCUGUUUACACAGUCACCAUGUGGGGACCGCUGACAGUCUGGGGACCAAAAAUGCGGUCCCCAGACUGUUUUCCUUCUUAAAAGCCUCCAGGAGGUGUUCUAAAGGUGCCCAAUUGAUUUUUGGCCAAGGCCCAAAAAGCAUGUUUUAUCACAAUUACUUGAGUGAAAGUGUGUGAAAGUUCCCCCCCUAUAUGUCUUUGCAUGUAACUGCACUCACCGCUUCACACUCACACACCUUCCAAAUAUGGUUGGGACCGCCCACUUCCUGGUCCCCAUUAGGGAGGUUUCAAGAAGCAAAGGAAAAUGCAUGCUUUUCAAUGGAAAUUACAUUUAUUACACUGUAAAACAUGAGAAGAUUAGAAUAGAAUGUGACAGAUGUCAACAUGGAAGUAUGAUACAUAAUGUAUUGUAUUCCAAAUUAUAAUUACUAAAGAGCAUUUGAAGAUAAAAUGAUCAACACAGUCAUUUGUGGACACUAAGUUUCUUUUCAUUUAAAGGUGCAAUCUAUGAUGAUGUUCAGAAACACUCAUACUGGGUGAAAUGGUCCUUCUCUCCCAAUAGUCGUCAAUGCAAUAUGUGAUCAGAAAAACAAAAUAAAUCUGACCAUGGUGGAAGCUGCAAAACAUUAAAAACAUUGACCAGUCGUAUCAUUCAGUCCGACUCAGGGCCCCCUGUGCCCCGCAUGCACACGUAUCAGGUUCACUGUUGCUGGAAAUGCUCGCUGCUUAGCAGAGACACCGGGUAGCAGGAGAACACCUUUAUUCGGACACAAUGGCAGAGAAGAAGCAGCCAAAACUGGUUUAUUUUCCUUUACAAGGCCAUUAUGCAUCAACUACCAGCCUAUUUGUGUUCGUUACUGACUCAAAAGCCUGUUUGUAGUCUAAAUCUUCGCUCUCAUGGACAAAUCUUGUAUCAAAUUCCUCGAACUCGCUCUGCUUUUGGGGAAAGAGCUUUUAGUGUCUAUGCUCCAACUUCCUGGACUGAGAUCCAGGCUCAUUUUAAACUUGAUCACUGUAUCAGCUUAGACAAUUUUAAAACUAGAAUUAAGGAUCACUUAACCAGUGUUUGCACUUGUUUUAUAAAUUAGCUGAUGAUGAUUUAAUCCUGGAUGUAAUCUUUUAUGUUUGUUAUUCAAUGUGUGUCAUUUCUGUGUAACUUUUUGUGCUGCCUUCUUGGCCAGGAUCCUCUUGAAAAAGAGAUUUUUAUCUCAAUGAGAAUUUCCCUGGUUAAAUAAAGGACAAUAAAUAAAUAAAUCAAAUAAAAACACCUCCAGCGCCCGUGAGGGCUCAACCCCACAACCAGGCAGAGAGAAGAGACAGACACAGGCAGGAGAGGCUGCCAUGAAGAAGGUUGGAAGAAGCUGGAGGACAAAGAGGAGCCAACAUGGCAGCCUCCAGCUGAGUGGUUACAUCUUGCAGCCUUACCUGAAAUUUUUAACGUGUCUUUGAGUGUUUCUGAACAAUAUUUCUCAUUGUUACAAUAAUAACUAGAAAAUUCCACAGGAGAUUUUGAUAUGUGUGCUGCCCAUCUGCUGCCGCUCCCCGCUUGCCAAUUGUGAUGGAGAUGCAGCAAAGCAUCGGUGCACUACAGUCUGCUUUUUGUUUUUCGGAAGUGUGGACAUGCAAGAUCGCCACUGAGUGAGACAUGUACACCAAUGAGCCCACUCUCGAGACGUGUCAAAUAUGGUGUGGAUACGUCAAAGCAUUGAUGAAUCAGUGCCUACUUCCUGUUUUUUGGCUGUUGGGACAUCCAAAAUGGCCCCCGAGUGGGACAUGUUGUGAGAGUGGGCUCAUGAGUGGAUGUGUCAAAUAUGGUGCAGAUACAACAAAGUGUCAAUGAUUUGGGGCCUUUCUCCUGAAUCUGACUCGACACACAAGGAAAUCAGGUUGUGUCUGUGUUGUGAUGGGCGUCGCCUGUCCUUUGAGUAGGAAACAUCUCACAGGUGACACUCAUUUUGCUCCACUAAGCCUCAGCCCUUCAGAAGGGCCUGAACAGACGGAGGAGACAGGAGGAGACAGAGGUCAAAUCACAUUUCUGCCUCAAGAUAUAACAUCACAAUCCAGCUCCUAGUACAAAAAAGUGUAACAAAGUACAAAACCCCAAAACCCAAAAAGCGGCUCUGUGCCAUUAAAAAUAAUUGUACAAAAAAAUACGGUCGCGUACGCGCGCAUUUCCUAUUCCGGUUAAGUGAUUUUAUUGUGAAAUCACACAGGAAGCGCGCGGUACGGUUGACAGCAGCUUAACAGCAAACUCCGUUCUCUCGGUGAAGUACAAGUCCUGUCAAAAGCAAAAGUGGAGCAGAAAGGCGAUUUUGUUAGAUGUAUGUCUGCAGUUUCAAAUGCCACCAAGGCUCAGUCCGACAAGUGAUGCCAUCCGUCAUGUUCUCUCAAAGACGGACAAAACUUCAAAACUGGAAGUUAAAUACAUAAAUGCAGAGAAAGGACGAGGAGUAUUUGCCACAAGCAAAUUUCCCAGAGGAGAAUUUGUAGUGGAGUACCGGGGUGAUAUGAUCAAUGAUGUUGAAGCCCAAAGAAGACGAAAGGUUUUCCACCCAUCGUGUACUGCCUUUUUUUUUGCUUUCAAGUGGCGAGGGAAAUUUUGGUGCAUUGAUGCCUCAAGAGAGGAUGAAUCAUUGGGGCGACUUCUUAAUGAUCAGCACAAAGGCCCUAACUGCCGAAUGAAAAAGAUUGAUGUGGAUGGGAUGCCGCACUUGUGCCUAUUUGCUAUCAAAGACAUAAAUGAGGGGGAUGAA